UACGUAGGGUGCAAGCGUUGUCCGGAAUUAUUGGGCGUAAAGAGCUCGUAGGCGGUUUGUCGCGUCUGCUGUGAAAACUCGGGGCUCAACCCCGAGCCUGCAGUCGAUACGGGCAGACUAGAGUGCGGUAGGGGAGACUGGAAUUCCUGGUGUAGCGGUGAAAUGCGCAGAUAUCAGGAGGAACACCGGUGGCGAAGGCGGGUCUCUGGGCCGUAACUGACGCUGGAGGAGCGAAAGCGUGGGGAGCAAACAGG
rnacentral:rRNA from 1 species